rnacentral:rRNA from 1 species
AGAGUUUGAUUUUGGCUCAGGAUGAACGCUGGCGGCGUGCCUAACACAUGCAAGUCGAACGAUGAAACCGCCCUCGGGCGGACAUGAAGUGGCGAACGGGUGAGUAACACGUGACCAACCUGCCCCUUGCUCCGGGACAACCUUGGGAAACCGAGGCUAAUACCGGAUACUCCUCGCCCCCCUCCUGGGGGGCCCGGGAAAGCCCAGACGGCAAGGGAUGGGGUCGCGGCCCAUUAGGUAGUAGGCGGGGUAACGGCCCACCUAGCCCGCGAUGGGUAGCCGGGUUGAGAGACCGACCGGCCACAUUGGGACUGAGAUACGGCCCAGACUCCUACGGGAGGCAGCAGUGGGGAAUUUUGCGCAAUGGGGGAAACCCUGACGCAGCAACGCCGCGUGCGGGACGACGGCCUUCGGGUUGUAAACCGCUUUCAGCAGGGAAGAAAUUCGACGGUACCUGCAGAAGAAGCUCCGGCUAACUACGUGCCAGCAGCCGCGGUAAUACGUAGGGAGCGAGCGUUAUCCGGAUUCAUUGGGCGUAAAGAGCGCGUAGGCGGCCUCUCAAGCGGGAUCUCUAAUCCGAGGGCUCAACCCCCGGCCGGAUCCCGAACUGGGAGGCUCGAGUUCGGUAGAGGCAGGCGGAAUUCCCGGUGUAGCGGUGGAAUGCGCAGAUAUCGGGAAGAACACCGAUGGCGAAGGCAGCCUGCUGGGCCGCAACUGACGCUGAGGCGCGAAAGCUAGGGGAGCGAACAGGAUUAGAUACCCUGGUAGCCCUAGCCGUAAACGA